GAAUGGACAAACAAAAACAAGUCUGCUUUUUUGUCGAUGACAAUUUCACCGAAAACGACAACAUAAGCAACAAGUUCAAGACCUAUCAAGAGGUACAUCAUCAAAAGCAUCCUCAAGUUGACAAUCACCGGUUCAUCCCGUUUUGGGUUUCUGGAACAAAAGACAACAACAAACCGAAAGAGGCGUUCCACAAAGGGGAGUUCAAGCUGCAGGAAGGUUUUGAGAAUUUCAACGUCCACAAAGUGGCGCAGCUCCUGACGACGGUCCGCAGCGUCAUCGACCAGCACGACCCUGUCGCAGAAGCGAUGUGCCAU
rnacentral:ribozyme from 1 species